rnacentral:rRNA from 1 species
AAGAGUGCGUAAUAGCUCACUGGUCGAGUGACCCCGCGCCGAAAAUGUACCGGGGCUAAACAUAUUACCGAAACUGUGGAUGAACCUCUUUAGAGGUUCGUGGUAGGAGAGCGUUCUAAGGGCGGUGAAGUCAGACCGGAAGGACUGGUGGAGCGCUUAGAAGUGAGAAUGCCGGUAUGAGUAGCGAAAGAAGGGUGAGAAUCCCUUCCACCGAAUAUCUAAGGUUUCCUGAGGAAGGCUCGUCCGCUCAGGGUUAGUCGGGACCUAAGCCGAGGCCGAUAGGCGUAGGCGAUGGACAACAGGUAGAGAUUCCUGUACCAGUGCUAAUUGUUUAACCGAUGGGGUGACACAGAAGGAUAGGGAAUCGCACGAAUGGAAAUGUGCGUCCAAGCAGUGAGUGUGAGAAGUAGGCAAAUCCGCUUCUCGCGAAGCAUGAGCUGUGAUGGGGAAGGAAAUUAAGUACGGAAGUUCCUGAUUUCACGCUGUCAAGAAAAGCCUCUAGGAAGAGUAGUACUGCCCGUACCGCAAACCGACACAGGUAGAUGAGGAGAGAAUCCUAAGGUGAGCGAGAGAACUCUCGUUAAGGAACUCGGCAAAAUGACCCCGUAACUUCGGGAGAAGGGGUGCUCUAUUAGGGUGCAAGCCCGAGAGAGCCGCAGUGAAUAGGCCCAGGCGACUGUUUAGCAAAAACACAGGUCUCUGCAAAACCGUAAGGUGACGUAUAGGGGCUGACGCCUGCCCGGUGCUGGAAGGUUAAGAGGAGUGCUUAGCUUCGGCGAAGGUACGAAUUGAAGCCCCAGUAAACGGCGGCCGUAACUAUAACGGUCCUAAGGUAGCGAAAUUCCUUGUCGGGUAAGUUCCGACCCGCACGAAAGGCGCAACGAUCUGGGCACUGUCUCAACGAGAGACUCGGUGAAAUUAUAGUACCUGUGAAGAUGCAGGUUACCCGCGACAGGACGGAAAGACCCCGUGGAGCUUUACUGCAACCUGAUAUGGAAUGUUUGUACCGCUUGUACAGGAUAGGUAGGAGCCGAAGAGACGUGUGCGCUAGCAUACGAGGAGGCAAUGGUGGGAUACUACCCUGGCUGUAUGACCAUUCUAACCCGCCACGCUUAGCGCGUGGGGAGACAGUGUCAGGUGGGCAGUUUGACUGGGGCGGUCGCCUCCUAAAGAGUAACGGAGGCGCCCAAAGGUUCCCUCAGAAUGGAUGGAAAUCAUUCGCAGAGUGUAAAGGCACAAGGGAGCUUGACUGCGAGACUGACAAGUCGAGCAGGGACGAAAGUCGGGCUUAGUGAUCCGGUGGUUCCGCAUGGAAGGGCCAUCGCUCAACGGAUAAAAGCUACCCCGGGGAUAACAGGCUUAUCUCCCCCAAGAGUCCACAUCGACGGGGAGGUUUGGCACCUCGAUGUCGGCUCGUCGCAUCCUGGGGCUGUAGUCGGUCCCAAGGGUUGGGCUGUUCGCCCAUUAAAGCGGCACGCGAGCUGGGUUCAGAACGUCGUGAGACAGUUCGGUCCCUAUCCGUCGCGGGCGCAGGAAAUUUGAGAGGAGCUGUCCUUAGUACGAGAGGACCGGGAUGGACACACCGCUGGUGUACCAGUUGUUCCGCCAGGAGCAUCGCUGGGUAGCUAUGUGUGGCAGGGAUAAACGCUGAAAGCAUCUAAGCGUGAAGCCCCCUCAAGAUGAGAUUUCCCAUUUCUUCGGAAAGUAAGAUCCCUGAAAGAUGAUCAGGUAGAUAGGUUUGGAGUGGAAGUGUAGCGAUACAUGGAGCGGACAAAUACUAAUCGAUCGAGU